rnacentral:rRNA from 1 species
UAGUGAGUUUGAUCCUGGCUCAGGAUGAACGCUAGCGGCAGGCCUAAUACAUGCAAAUCGAACGGGUGGUAGCAAUACCACUAGUGGCGCACGGGUGCGUAACGCGUAACCAACCUACCUACAACUGGGGGAUAGCCCGCCGAAAGGCGGAUUAAUACCGCAUAACUCCACAGAGUGGCAUCACUUCAUGGAUAAAGAUUUAUUGGUUGUAGAUGGGGUUGCGUGCCAUUAGCUAGUUGGCGGGGUAACGGCCCACCAAGGCGACGAUGGCUAGGGGGACCUGAGAGGGUGAUCCCCCACACUGGCACUGAGAUACGGGGCCAGACUCCUACGGGAGCAGCAGUAGGGAAUAUUGGGGCAAUGGGGCGAGAGCCUGACCCAGCCAUGCCCGCGUGCCGGAUGAAGGCCUUCUGGGGUUGUAAACCCGCUGAAACGAGGACGAAAUCCCCGGCAAGGGGGUCUGACGGUACUCGUGUAAUAGCACCGGCUAACUCCGUGCCAGCAGCCGCGGUAAUCU